rnacentral:rRNA from 1 species
AUUGAACGCUGGCGGCAGGCUUAUCACAUGCAAGUCGAGCGGAGAUGAGGUGCUUGCACCUUAUCUUAGCGGCGGACGGGUGAGUAAUGCUUAGGAAUCUGCCUAUUAGUGGGGGACAACAUUCCGAAAGGAAUGCUAAUACCGCAUACGUCCUACGGGAGAAAGCAGGGGAUCUUCGGACCUUGCGCUAAUAGAUGAGCCUAAGUCGGAUUAGCUAGUUGGUGGGGUAAAGGCCUACCAAGGCGACGAUCUGUAGCGGGUCUGAGAGGAUGAUCAGCCACACUGGGACUGGGACACGGCCCAGACUCCGACGGGAGGCAGCAGUGGGGAAUAUUGGGCAAUGGGGGGAACCCUGAUCCAGCCAUGCCGCGUGUGUGAAGAAGGCCUUAUGGUUGUAAAGCACUUUAAGCGAGGAGGAGGCUACUGAGACUAAUACUCUUGGAUAGUGGACGUUACUCGCAGAAUAAGCACCGGCUAACUCUGUGCCAGCCGCCGCAGUAA